GGAGAGCAGAGGAGAGGUUUGCUGGAAGCUUCUAGAAUUUGCUUUCUCUAAGGAGAAAUUCACAGAAAGUCAGCUUUUUUCUCUCCUGUUGGACACAAAUAAGGAAGGAUGAAGCCCAGCUGUUUCCAUUUUACAACUAUGAAAUAAAUUAGCCUUAGGCUGAAGCCCAGGCAGUAGAGAGCAGAGUAAAAACACAGAAAGAAUCUGUGUUCUUGACAAUACUGUGAAGCUGCUAAAUUGACUGAUUCUGAACCCCAUCUCUCAUCUCUGGUGAAGAGAAGAAGGCCACAUGAAGAUGGAGCCAGAGACUGCAGUGAUGUGGUCACAAGCCCAGGAAGCUAAGGAAUGAAGACAGGUAUCAGAUGCUGAAAGAGGAAACGGAUUCUCUCUUGGGGCCUCCAGAUGGAAAACAGCCCUGCCAACACUUUCAUUUCCAAUGUCUGGUCUCCAGAACUCUGACAAAAUAAAUUACUAUUAUUUUAAGGAA